rnacentral:rRNA from 1 species
UAGGGAAUUUUCGUCAAUGGGGGAACCCUGAACGAGCAAUGCCGCGUGUGUGAAGAAGGUCUUCGGAUCGUAAAGCACUGUUGUAAGUGAAGAAUGCCAUAUAGAGGAAAUGCUAUGUGGGUGACGGUAGCUUACCAGAAAGCCACGGCUAACUACGUGCCAGCAGCCGCGGUAAUACGUAGGUGGCAAGCGUUAUCCGGAAUCAUUGGGCGUAAAGGGUGCGUAGGUGGCACGAUAAGUCUGAAGUAAAAGGCAACAGCUCAACUGUUGUAUGCUCUGGAAACUGUCGAGCUAGAGUGCAGAAGAGGGCGAUGGAAUUCCAUGUGUAGCGGUAAAAUGCGUAGAUAUAUGGAGGAACACCAGUGGCGAAGGCGGUCGCCUGGUCUGUAACUGACACUGAUGCACGAAAGCGUGGGGAGCAAAUAGGAUUAGAUACC